GCCUCCGUGGUCUGGUGGUCAGCACAACUGGCUACUGACCUAGAGGUCCCGGGUUCGAAUCCCGGCCGAGGUG
rnacentral:tRNA from 1 species